rnacentral:rRNA from 1 species
AGUGAACGCUGGCGGUAGGCCUAACACAUGCAAGUCGAGCGGCAGCACAGAACUUGCUUGUUCAUACGGGUGGCGAGGGGCGGGCAAGUGCGGGAAACAUGCCUGUCUAUGUGUUCUUAGGUCCUAACGCGGGGGCUCUUACGCUAUUCGUGCUUACGACGUACGGGGGAAAGCUGGGGACCUUUGGCUCUUGCGCGAUUGUAUGUGGCGUUGUCGGAUUAGCUAGUUGGCGGGGUAAAGGCCCACCAAGGCGACGAUCCGUAGCUGGUCUGAGAGGAUGAUCAGCCACACUGGAACUGAGACACGGUCCAGACUCCUACGGGAGGCAGCAGUGGGGAAUAUUGGACAAUGGGCGCAAGCCUGAUCCAGCCAUACCGCGUGUGUGAAGAAGGCCUUCGGGUUGUAAAGCCCUUUUGUUUGGAAAGAAAAGCAGUAAGUUAAUACCCCGCUGUUCUGACGUUACCAAAAGAAUAAGCACCGGCUAACUUCGUG